AGCAUUGAGAUUUUUUUAAUCUUUUGAUGAGGUAUGAACAAGUUUAGAUGGUAUAGCCAUAUAAGUGGACAAAACAUAGACACAACAAGCAAUUGAGAAACAUGAUAGUCCAAUGCUGGAGUGGUGUCAAGGUAAUUACACAACUAAAACAAACAUGAUUCUCGACAAACUUAAACAGCAGUCAAAUUGGACAAAUGUACAGAAGUAUGAAUGAAGUUGUAAAAUGCAGUUGUAAGUUAAAGUAGAAGACAAUCAAAGAACUACAUGAUAAACUGGUCUUUCUUUUAUACAAGUACGUAUAGGCACUACGGAAUUACCAUCCUAAGUUUUAAAUUAAAUUUGUUCCAUUUCAGCUUCUGCUUAUGAAAAGAGGUGGCCAGCUCAUAUACAGUGGUUCGGUAGGUCCACUCUCUAGCAACAUGAUAAAGUAUUUUGAGGCCAUACCAGGCGUUCCUAAAAUAAACAAGGGACAAAACCCAGCAACAUGGAUGUUAGACAUCAGUUCACACAUAACAGAAUAUGAAAUUGGAGUGGACUAUGCAGAAAUUUAUUGCAAUUCCUCCCUGUACAGGUAACCCCCCAUCUGGACUAUGCAGAAAUUUAUGGCUAUCGUUCCUCAUCUUCAUCUUUUGGAACGUCUUCUCUGGCUUCAUAAUCGUGAGAGAGAUGAUGCCUGUGUGGUGGCGGUGGGUGUACUGGGCGGAUCCGGCGGCAUGGAUAGUUCAUGGCAGAGCGCCCCUCGUUUGUGGAGUUCCUCGAGGCAUAUUUAUAAUAAUAUUAUA